AAGAGACUUGUCACUGUGCUAUGUCCUCUAUCUCCACCACCUCUAGGCAAAAGUGGUAGAGAAGCAGAGAAUCACCUGGAGAGCUUGACCUGGAGUUUGAGGGACAGAGGAACCGCUACCUGACUCAUUCUGAAAAAGUCAAAAGAACCCUGCAAAGAAGAAAACUCAAAAAGGAUUUUGGUUUUCUGAAAGGUGAGACAAUUCCAGCGUACAUUUUCUCAUAUGAACUGACUUGCACACAAGCUAUAGGAAAAGCAUUAAAGCGUUCUGCAGAAGACUCUUUUUUUUCUUUUCAGCUAUUUUCUUGAGACUUAAUCCACACAGCAUACGAUUUGCUCAUUUGAAAUGGGCUUUUUUUUUAUAUUUAACAAAAUGAAUUUUUUAAUAAAUUGAGGUAAAUUAAACAUAAAAUUUUAAAGUCAAUCAGAGAAAGACAAUUAUCAUAUAAUCUCCCUGAUAUGAGGAAGUUGAGAGGCAAAGUGGGGUGGGGGGUUGCGGGGUAGGGAAGGAAAAAAUGAAACAAGAUGGGAUCGGGAGGGAGACAAACCAUAA
rnacentral:lncRNA from 1 species